UAUCAAUAAGCGGAGGAAAAGAAACCAACAGGGAUUGCCCCAGUAACGGCGAGUGAAGCGGCAACAGCUCAAAUUUGAAAUCUGGCUUCGGCCCGAGUUGUAGUUUGUAGAGGAAGCUUCGGGCAACGCGCCUUCUGAGUCCCCUGGAACGGGGCGCCGGAGAGGGUGAGAGCCCCGUACGGUUGGACGCCGCGCCCAUGCGAAGCCCCUUCGACGAGUCGAGUAGUUUGGGAAUGCUGCUCUAAAUGGGAGGUAAAUUCCUUCUAAGGCUAAAUACCGGCCAGAGACCGAUAGCGCACAAGUAGAGUGAUCGAAAGAUGAAAAGCACUUUGGAAAGAGGGUUAAACAGUACGUGAAAUUGCUGAAAGGGAAGCGCCUGCGACCAGACUCGCGCCAGGCGGAUCAUCCGGCGUUCUCGCCGGUGCACUCCGUCCGGUGUGGGCCAGCAUCGGUUUUGCUGGGGGGAUAAAAGCGAGGGGAACGUAGCUCCCUACGGGGAGUGUUAUAGCCCUCCGCCCAAUACCUCCGGUGGGACCGAGGACCGCGCUUUAUUGCAAGGAUGCUGGCGUAAUGGUCGUCGGCG
rnacentral:rRNA from 1 species